UUCGAUUCCGGAGAGGGAGCCUGAGAAACGGCUACCACAUCUAAGGAAGGCAGCAGGCGCGCAAAUUACCCAAUCCCGGCUCGGGGAGGUAGUGACAAAAAAUAACAAUGCGGGACUCUUAUGAGGCUUCGUAAUUGGAAUGAGUACAUUCUAAAUCCUUUAACGAGGAACUAUUGGAGGGCAAGUCUGGUGCCAGCAGCCGCGGUAAUUCCAGCUCCAAUAGCGUAUAUUAAAGUUGUUGCGUCUAAAAAGCUCGUAGUUUGAAAACUUGCCUUGGCUUACAACAGACGUCUAAGGGCGUCACCGUUUGUCGAGAGCAAAUAUGGGUGACUGUUCUUGCCUUCUUCACUGAUUGGCUCGUAAAAGUCAUCGAAGAUCACUUUGAUUAAAUUAGGGUGCUCAAAGCAAGUGUGCUACUUGAAUAUGAAUGCAUGGAAUGAUGGAAUAUGUUGUUGUUCUAUUUUGGUUUUUUGAAUGACGAAAUGAUUGAAAGGAACUGUUGGGGGCAUUCGUAUUGUUGUGAGAGAGGUGAAAUUCUUAGACCAUAGCAAGACGAACUACUGCGAAAGCAUUUGCCAAGAAUGUUUUCAUUGAUCAAGAACGAAAGUUAGAGGUUCGAAGGCGAUCAGAUACCGCCCUAGUUCUAACCAUAAACUAUGCCGACUAGCAAUUUGCUUUGUAUUUUUAUGACUAAGUGAGAGGCCACGGGAAACCAAAGUAGGGUUAUGGGGGAAGUAUGGUUGCAAAGCUGAAACUUAAAGGAAUUGACGGAAGGGCACCACCAGGAGUGGAGCCUGCGGCUUAAUUUGACACAACACGGGAAAACUUACCUGGUCCUGACACUAGAAGGAUUGACAGAUUGAUAGCUCUUUCUUGAUUUGGUGGAUGGUGGUGCAUGGCCGUUCUUAGUUGGUGGAGUGAUUUGUCUGGUUAAUUCCGAUAACGAACGAGACUCUAGCCUAUUAAAUAAUAUGCGGAAUCAAUUUCUCCCGCGUUAUUUCUUAAUGGGAUCAAGCGUGUUUAACGCUUUGAAACAGAGCAAUAACAGGUCUGUGAUGCCCUUAGAUGUUCGGGGCUGCACGCGCGCUACAUUGAAGAACAAAGUGAGCCCUCUGGCUUUUAACAAAGCUAGAAAUCUUUUAAUGUUCUUCUUAAUGGGGAUAGGGGAUUGCAAUUGCGCCCCUUGAACGAGGAAUUCCCAGUAAGUGCUAGUCAUUAGCUAGUACUGAUUACGUCCCUGCCCUUUGUACACACCGCCCGUCGCUACUACCGAUUGAAUAGUUUAGUGAGAUCAUCUGAGUGUUUGUAUGUGCAUUCUGUGCUUGUAUGGUGUACGAAGAAGAUCAAACUUGAUUAUUUAGAGGAAGUAAAAGUCGUAACAAGGUUUCCGUAGGUGAACCUGCGGAAG
rnacentral:rRNA from 1 species